AUAUAUAUGUUACUAUAUAAAUAUAUUGUUAGUUGGAUAUUUUUUUCAUUGUUGAUUUGGUUCAGCCAUCAUCACCUUAGUUUUUUGCCUCACUGAAAGUAUAGAUUGUGCCUCAAAUGGGGAAGUAAGAGUCACAAAAUGUUUGCUGUUAUUUUUAUCAAAUGGUAGCCAAUGGCUAAAGGCAAAAUGGUGAUUCUGUUAUUAAGUUUCAUUGUCCACCACAGAUUGAUGGUGUGUCCUUUGACAACUUUCUCUGUGUCUCUGCUUUAAUUUAAACUUGUAAAAAUGAAUACAAUGAACUUGGUUUAAGAAUAGCUGAAAUAAAUUUAGACUGUAAGUUUUCUCUACUAGGUGUAUGUAUUUGUGAGUCUAAAAUCAGCAACACAAUAAUUAAUUAUUACUGCUAUUUACAUUAUAUAGCUAUGAAAGGUAUGAUUGUAUCUUUUAGAUGAAAACAUCUUUAUCUUACUAUGUAUGUGUCUAAUAUUUGUAAAAUACUUAGUUUAAAAUAUAUUCUUUAAUUUCUCCAUUAACUUUUAUUUUACAAAAUGUAAUGUUUGUUGAAAAUUAGCAGCAACUUUAAAAGUACACCUUUGAAAAAGAAAGAAAUUACUAGUUUAGUUUUAUUAACUUUCUUACAUAUUUUUACCUUUUAAAAUGAUAACACUGAGCUUUCAGUACAUUUAGCAAGAUAUAUGAUCAGUAUUUCUCAAAAAAUUAAGUGAUAUUUCUAAAUUAGAUGUUAAUUUUUUAUUUGCUUAUUUUGUUUGCACAUUUUGAAGUUAUAUGUGAGGUAAUUUCCAUUGUUUUAGUUUUAAUUCAAACAAUACUGAGCAUACUUACAAUAUAUAAGGAAAAUCUUUGGUCUUUUUUUGCAGAGUUAAUUGGAAAAGGUACAAUUAAUAUACAAUGUAUCGUUCAUCAUUUUAAUAUUCUAAAUUUAGCAGCCGAUCGUCUACCUAAUGUUUAAUAAUAUAAGUUGCUCUAAUUUCCUUUUAUCUGCUGUGGUAUAAAUUUGACUGUUAAUCCAAUGAUAAAACGAUUUCUAACAGUUUCAAAUAUUAUUACUAUUGCUAUUUACUAUUCUCAGUGACAAUCUGAGCUCCUCCUCAGAUGCUUAGAGGAAUCUUUACACAGUGUUAUAAACAGAUAAUUCUAAUGAUUAAAAUUUAAAAUUGUAGCAAUGACAAGUCCACUAUAAACAUAAUAAAUAAAUCAUUACCUUCUCUAUUAAUGAACAGAAACUUUAGUACAUUAAAACUAAUGUCUUAAAAGAUUUUAGAAGUAUAGCAAGCUGGUACUCACACCUAAUAAAAAGGUCUUAGUGAAUAUCAUCUUACAACUUAGAACGUUUGCACUGUUCUUUACAAAGGUUGUUUCGAUUCCAUGCAAGAUAAUUAAUCCAGAAUUAUUUUGACCACAAAUUUUUCUUUCUAAUUAACUGGCCAAACACAAUCUACAAAAAAUAGGUAGUACUUCAUUUAGUAUUUACUAUAUAAAUAUAGUAAAAACAAACAGACAGUUGGGAUAAUGGUUUUAUCUAUCACCAUAUUCUAUAAUUGUACCUAGCAUUAAGUAAGCACCUAAUAGAUUUACAAAUAUGUACUUAUAGAUGUCCACAGACCAAGGUGAAUUCAGUGAAUAUCAUAAACUGGUUGUGUGCUCCAUCAUAACGCCAUUUAUCUUGACAAUCUGCAAAGAUGUCUCAAAUGUCAAUAAGGAUAUCAGAGCAAUGUUACCAACACCUCCCUUUGAAGUGUGGCCUAUUUGGUUGCUUGCUGGCAAGAAAAAGUGUGGACAAAAGAAAAGAGAAAAUAGAUUGAUGUUUUGAGUCUUGGAGGGUAACAGCUGACAAUUAUCCCCUUCUCCAGAGAAUUGUCUUAACCUAACAGGAAUCACCACACGUGUCAGUCUCUAUCCUACCUCAGGGGAAUUAAGGCAAUGAAUGAUUGCCUUAAGGUGGGACUCUUUGUUGCAAUUUUGUCCAUAAAGUUAUCCUGUGUGAUAAUACUUGGUGUAAUCUCAGGCAGGGACUGCAUUACUUAGCUUUUCCCGACUCUUCCUCUUCUACUUCCCUCAUUCCCUUUCUCUCAAGGGCACAUUCCUGAUGAAACACUGGAAUCAAAAUCCCCAUUUCAUGCUCUACUUCUAGAGGACUAGACCUAAGACACAAUUGACCU